AAUGAACGCUGGCGGCGUGCCUAACACAUGCAAGUCGAACGCGAAAGCCCUGCUUGCAGGGUGAGUAGAGUGGCGAACGGGUGAGUAACGCGUGGGUAACCUACCCCCCAGUUGGGGAUAAUCCCGCGAAAGUGGGUCUAAUACCGGAUGACAUCGCCUCUCCUCGGAGGGGUGAUCAAAGAUGGCCUCUGGUACAAGCUAUCGCUGGGGGAGGGGCUCGCGUCCUAUUAGCUUGUUGGUGGGGUAACGGCCCACCAAGGCGACGAUGGGUAGCCGGCCUGAGAGGGUGUCCGGCCACACUGGAACUGAGACACGGUCCAGACUCCUACGGGAGGCAGCAGUGGGGAAUUUUUCGCAAUGGGCGAAAGCCUGACGAAGCGACGCCGCGUGGACGAUGAAGGCCUUCGGGUCGUAAAGUCCUGUCGGGUGGGAAGAAAAGUAUGAGCUCGAAUAAAGCUCAUGCUUGACGGUACCACCCAAGGAAGCCCCGGCCAACUCCGUGCCAGCAGCCGCGGUAAUACGGGGGGGGCAAGCGUUAUUCGGAAUCACUGGGCGUAAAGGGCGUCUAGGCGGUCGGGUAAGUCGUGGGUGAAAGCCCCCGGCUCAACCGGGGAAGUGCCUGCGAAACUAUCCGACUUGAGGUCGGGAGAGGAAAGUGGAAUUCCCAGUGUAGCGGUGAAAUGCGCAGAUAUUGGGAGGAACACCAGUGGCGAAGGCGGCUUUCUGGACCGACCCUGACGCUGAAGCGCGAAAGCUAGGGGAGCGAACGGGAUUAGAUACCCCGGUAGUCCUAGCCGUAAACGAUGGGCACUUGGUGUAGCAGGAUUUAAAACCUGCUGUGCCGAAGCUAACGCAUUAAGUGCCCCGCCUGGGGAGUACGGCCGCAAGGCUGAAACUCAAAGGAAUUGACGGGGGCCCGCACAAGCGGUGGAGCAUGUGGUUUAAUUCGAUGCAACGCGAAGAACCUUACCGGGGCUUGAAGUGUGGUUGACAGGAUGAGAAAUUAUCCCUUCUCUU
rnacentral:rRNA from 1 species